rnacentral:rRNA from 1 species
AGUGGAUGGGGAGCAACCUAGUUGUGCGUGUGUAAAGGUAGUGCCAAGAAAAGCGAUGAUCAUGUUGAAAAUCAAUUCCCGGUACCCGAAACCGACACAGGUGGGCAAGUAGAGAAUACUAAGGGGCGCGAGGUAACUCUCUCCAAGGAACUCGGCAAAAUGACCCCGUAACUUAGGGAGAAGGGGUGCCACCGAGAGGUGGUCGCAGUGAAGAGGCCCAGGCGACUGUUUAGCAAAAACAUAGGUCUCUGCAAACUCGAAAGAGGAGGUAUAGGGGCUGACGCCUGCCCAGUGCCGGAAGGUUAAAGAAGUUGGUCAGUUUUAGGAUGAAGCUAGCGACUGAAGCCCCGGUGAACGGCGGCCGUAACUAUAACGGUCCUAAGGUAGCGAAAUUCCUUGUCGGGUAAGUUCCGACCCGCACGAAAGGCGUAACGAUCUGGGCGCUGUCUCGGAGAGAGGCUCGGCGAAAUAGGAUUGUCUGUGAAGAUACGGACUACCUGCAUUUGGACAGAAAGACCCUAUGAAGCUUUACUAUAGCUUGGAAUUGUGUUCGGGCUUCCUGUGCGCAGGAUAGGUGGGAGGCGUAGAAGGUAUUCUUGUGGGGAUACUGGAGCCAACGGUGAGAUACCACUCUCAGGAGGCUAGAAUUCUAACUUAAUUAAGGACAGUUUCAGGUGGGUAGUUUGACUGGGGCGGUCGCCUCCAAAAAGGUAACGGAGGCGUACAAAGGUUCCCUCAGACUGGUUGGAAAUCAGUCGAAGAGUGCAAAGGCAGAAGGGAGCUUGACUGCGAGAAGUACAGUUCGAGCAGGGUGGAAACACGGUCUUAGUGAUCCGACGGUGCUGUGUGGAAGGGCCGUCGCUCAACGGAUAAAAGUUACUCUAGGAUAACAGGCUGAUCUCCCCCAAGAGUUCACAUCGACGGGGAGGUUUGGCACCUCGAUGUCGGCUCAUCGCAACCUGGGGCGGAAGUACGUCCCAAGGGUUGGGCUGUUCGCCCAUUAAAGCGGUACGUGAGCUGGGUUCAGAACGUCGUGAGACAGUUCGGUCCAUAUCCGAUGUAGGCGUGAGAAUAUUGAGAGGAGCCUUCCUUAGUACGAGAGGACCGGGAAGGACGCACCGCUGGUGUACCUGUUAUGAUGCCAAUUGUAAACGCAGGGUAGCCAAGUGCGGAGAGGAUAACCGCUGAAAGCAUCUAAGUGGGAAGCCCACCUCAAGAUGAGUAUUCUGGUGUAAGGUCACGGGAAGACGACCCGUAAAUAGGCACGAGGUGGAAGUGCAGAGAUGUAUGAAGCCGAAGUGUACUAAUAGACCGUCGGCUUGACCU